CAGACAGAGAGAAACAGACAGACAGAGAGAGAGAAACAGACAGAGAGAACAGAGAGAGAGAGAGACAGACAGAGAGAGAAACAGACAGAGAGAAACAGACAGACAGAGAGAGAAACAGACAGACAGAGAGAAACAGACAGACAGAGAGAGAGAAACAGACAGAGAGAGAAAAACAGACAGAGAGAGAGAGAAACAGACAGAGAGAGAGAAACAGACAGAGAGAGAGAAACAGACAGAGAGAGAGAAACAGACAGACAGAGAGAAACAGACAGAGAGAGAGACACAGACCGACAGACAGAGAAACAGACAGACAGAGAAACAGACAGACAGACUCUAGUCAGGGACUAUAAAGGUUUAGUUACCUACAGACAUUAUUCUAUGUCUCUAGUCAGGGACUAUAAAGGUUUAGUUACCUACAGACAUUAUUCUAUGUCUCUAGUCAGGGACUAUAAAGGUUUAGUUACCUACAGACAUUAUUCUAUGUCUCUAGUCAGGGACUAUAAAGGUUUAGUUACCUACAGAC